CAGCGGGGAGGAAGCGGGCAGUGAAUGCCAGGGCGGGCGGGAGCGGGCGCGGACAGACCCGAGCCGGCGACCCAGGGCGGCGGGUCCGGUGGGAGAAAGGAGGAGGAGGAGGGGGCCUGGAGUUACUAUGGCUCCCGGGACUCCUCGAAUGGCCGAAAUAAGAGUUUCUAAAAAUAGGCAGUGGCCCGCCUGAAGAAGUAGGCGAAUGAAGAGGCACAAGAACCUGCCUAAGAGACAGGAUUCCUGAGAACGGAGCAGAGUUUGAAUUCAGAGUCCUGGCUAAUAACUGCCCUUCUGUUGUUUGACCUCCAUGUCCUCUUGAAAAGGAAGAGAAAUCAAAUUAGAGAAUUGGUGACCCGGAGAGCAAGGCCUGGGAUGUUCCGCCCCUAUCUCUCUGCUUAAAUAUCGCCUUCUCGGAGAGGUCUUUCCUUAGUACCUCGUCUAAAGGAGCACACUUGGCCCACUCACUGGACAAGACAGAAGUACUGGACAUGUAACUCGCAAAGAAAUCUCAUUCAGCCAAUGACAGAUGGGGAAUUGGUGGCGACCUAGCAUCCUCUCCCAUCCAUCAGAGCACAGGAGAAAUGAUUCAUUUUUAAUGAAGACUCAAAGAACUUCACCAUGGAGGUGACAUUUGAGCUGAAACUCGAGGGAGGAGAAAGUUUUGCAGGACCUUAUUUAUGGACUAAGGACAGUAGCAAAGAUGUGCUGUGACCAAGCCCUGACAGUGGGGAUGAAGAUAUCACCACAAAGGAUACAGGGAAACAAGAUGAAAGGAUCUUUGAUACCUGAGUGACCAUGUGGAGCAGAGCCUGCACCACUUACCUUGAGACAUUCCAUGAGAGUGAAUCAACUUCUAUUUUCCUCAAGCCUCUGUGUCUGUGUCCUCUUUCUUACAGCGGCUUGGGCUUACUCUAAGUAAUAUAUUCCCAAUCCCCUCUCCUCCAAUGACUGGAAAAAUCCUCCCAGUUAGGAAGACAGUGAAGUUUUGGAAAGAAAGAAGAGAGAGAGAAGGGUAGAAGCUAUAUAAUUCCCUACACACACCCCUUGCCCUUUCUCCUAAAACAAGUCACAGAUUUGAUGACAGGGAGAGACACAGUAAAACCCCUUUUGAAGUUUGAGGGAUUAAAGAAUAAA